AGAGUUUGAUCAUGGCUCAGGACGAACGCUGGCGGCGCGCCUAAUACAUGCAAGUCGAGCGAGAACCAGGACUUCGGUCCUGGGGAGAGCGGCGAACGGGUGCGUAUCACGUGAGCAACCUGCCUCGGAGACCGGAAUAACUCGAGGAAACUCGGGCUAAUGCCGGAUGCCCUCGGUGGACCGCAUGGUCCGGCGAGGAAAUGGAUUCCGCUCCGAGAUGGGCUCGCGGCCUAUCAGCUUGUUGGUGGGGUAACGGCCUACCAAGGCAACGACGGGUAGCUGGUCUGAGAGGACGAUCAGCCACACUGGGACUGAGACACGGCCCAGACUCCUACGGGAGGCAGCAGUAGGGAAUCUUGCGCAAUGGGGGAAACCCUGACGCAGCGACGCCGCGUGCGGGAUGAAGGCCUUCGGGUCGUAAACCGCUUUCAGCAGGGACGAAAUUGACGGUACCUGCAGAAGAAGGCCCGGCCAACUACGUGCCAGCAGCCGCGGUGAUACGUAGGGGUCUAGCGUUGUCCGGAAUUAUUGGGCGUAAAGAGCUCGUAGGCGGUUCGGCAAGUCGGAUGUGAAAUCUCCACGCUUAACGUGGAGGGGCCAUUCGAAACUGCCGUGACUCGAGUCCGGUAGGGGAGUUCGGAAUUCCCGGUGUAGCGGUGAAAUGCGCAGAUAUCGGGAGGAACACCAGUGGCGAAGGCGGAACUCUGGGCCGGAACUGACGCUGAGGAGCGAAAGCGUGGGGAGCGAACAGGAUUAGAUACCCCCGUAGUCC
rnacentral:rRNA from 1 species